rfam:Zea mays cultivar B73 chromosome 7, whole genome shotgun sequence.
CAAGCAGGUGAUGAGAACAAGACAGGGACAUCAGAACCCUUUUCCGGGCAUGAUAGACCAAGUCUAUAAUGGGAAUCUCUCUGAUGCUUU